CCCCUUUCCUUUUGGGCGAGGGCGUCCUAUAUUGAUCGGGCCGGUUUCGACCGGCUAUGGUGAUAAAUUGCGGCGUGCAAUAGGCACAGCGGACCCGGGGGCAGUACCCGGCGGCUCCACCACUUCCUCCGUUUGCGCGGGGGACAUGACGGGGCCGAACCAGGAUCGACGUGUGUUGAAAAGCGUUGUUUUCACCCGGGCUGAGUAACCCGUUCAAGGCUCAAAACUCACAAGUGCCAACGACAACGAAGCACUUGCUCUCGCCGCGUAAUUCUAGGGGCUAACGCCCUGAAGUUACAAGGUUAGAGCACGGUUCGGACCGAACCGGGUAACAGAAUCGGAAACC
rnacentral:tmRNA from 1 species